CCUGACGCACAUUCCAGGUCGACUCCCACAGCUGCACAGCACCUAGCGUUGCCUGAGGAAGCCUAAGACUACGACUAAGCAGCCCGAGACGCUAGCGGUAGCCGCCCCCCUCACAACUAGGUCGCACCAAGCCUGUGCUUAGCUGGCUCCUUGCCCGAACAUUCGUGGCCAACUCUGACUCCACAGCCUGGUUGCAUCAAGGCACCAGGGCUCGUUUGGCGUGUGCUGUGUCUUGCGGUCACAACCCGUGGCUGACUGCAGCAUACUUGUAACGGUUGAGUGCAAAUUCCCCUUCGCGGGUUGCCCCUUCCCCUUCCCCUGCGACCGACGCGUGCGGACCGGACUGGACCUAAGCCCUUCGCCAUAGUGCGCGGCCUCUAGUGUGUCAGGCUUCCCCCGUCACCCCGGCGCCUACAGUCUCCCUUCUCUGGUCUCCCUUCGAGAUUGCAACAUCCUACUGUGAUCCAGCCUCUGCCUCCCUUCUCCCUCCACCGGUUUCCCUUCGAGAUUGCGACCGACUACCGCUCCCGGCUCCUGCUUUCUUCUGCCAGCCAUCUGGUCUGCAUACGGUAUCCUCCAGCCUUGGGUGCAAGCAGCUCGCAUCUGUUGUACCGACUUGCCUGCCUGUGCCUGCAGUCUGUAGCACUCGCAUAGGAUUGCUUGCUUGUAAGCGCACAAACCUGUUGUACAGACUUGCUUGCCUGGGAGCUUAGCUUGCUCAGCUCAGCCGGGUUGCGCAUCAGCAGCGCGUACGACUCCAGCGGGUACUCAGCCUUAUAGGGUAGUCUCGCUCCUCUCUCCUAUCCAAAACCUCUGGCGUUCUACACGCCCUAACAACUAUGCCCAGGCUCCACCUGAGGCUACGGCUUCUAUCCCCUCUUUCUCUCGUGCAGGUCCGGCCAGCCGGUCGCCAAGUCUCUCUCCCUUCUCUCUCUCCCUAUCCCUUUCCUUUACAGGUUCCCCAGCUCUCCUUGUACAUACGACUGAAUCAUCUCUCGACCACACCUCUGGUAUCUCCGACUAUUGCAGUGAUCGCCGCAGGCGCAUCUUGAUCACCCCGCAAGUGCCCAGGACAGCGGCUGGUAUACAGGGUCGGGCGUGGCGGCCGUCCAGCCUCUCCACGCUCCGUGCUCAUACCCUGGGAAGGUCAAAGCGGUGCAGGCCUGUCGUCAUACAGCUGCAUCGUGGCCAGUGCCUCAGUGACAGCCCGCGUUACAGCGCAAAAGUUUUUAUAGUUCCCGGUUUUUUUACGGGUGCUGCGCUUUUAGUGGGGGGAGUUGCGGGAAAUUGUCCUGAGCUCCUCUGCGUCCCCUUACCGUCAUUCCCAGCUUUCCUGGCUACGCCCGGAUUUAUCCGUCUACUGCGACAGCUAAAAUGGUUGACUCCGACGCCGAAUCUUCUUCAUCUGCGUCAAGCCGGCGUUCGAGCCGUUCUACCCAACUCAGGAAGGGCAUUUCGCCCUCUGCUCUUAAUGCUGUUCCCACGUUCAACCCCUCCUCUGAUGACCCGACUGAUUGGAUCGAUUCUAUUGAAAGGGUUGGACAGGUGUUUGGUUGGGACGAUCCCACCAAACUAGCCGUUGCCCGCUGCCGCCUGCUACACUCCGCCAGGGUUUGGGACUCUGCUGGUAAGGACAUCGAUUCCUGGCCGAAGUUCAGUCAAGCCUUCCUCGACCGUUUUGCCCUACGAGAAACAGAAAUCUAUGGCCAACUGGCAUCCUGCCGCCAGGGCCUACGCGAGUCAGUACGUGAUUAUUCCGACCGUUUCCGCCAUCUUCUGGCCCGUCUUGAUAUCAGGCCUGGCCGCGAUUACAUGUACCACUACCUGCGUGGGCUUCACCCCCGCACCUAUCGCAAGGUUCACCUCUUGCGCCCUCAAACUCUGGAAGAUGCGAUUGACGGCGCCAUCUACGUCAGCGAAGUUGAAGAUUGGGACGACGCCAGCACAGGGCGCAGCGCCCCGGCACCUCCCGAACGCAGGGCAGCGCUCGUAUCUUCCUUCGUUCGGAACGAAAUUUGCCCAAAAAGGCCUCUGGCGGACGAAAUGUUUUUGAUCUUGACUUGGAAUCUCGGCCAAAACGCACGGGAUCUUGGGGGGUCUUUCGGCAAACAGACGAAGACAUUUUUGGGAUUUCGGCCACUUUUGGCCAAGGACAGGGGGUUCCAGCGGCUACUCCACGGCCGAAAACUGCGUCGCAUAUGGUAAGAAGGCUCAAAGGGCUGUAUCUAUGGGUGUUGACGGCGGGAGACAGGGGUUCCCCUGGCGGGAGAGUGAGGUUGGGUCGGCGGGAAGCAGGGGAGGAGUGGGCGUGUCGUGUCGGUGUCGACAUCGUGCGGGUCGGGGGCGGAGCCCCCGGAAUAAUUUGGGGGGUGAACGAAGCGGCGGCAGCCUGUUUCGUCAACUAAACGAAGCCAUUUUAAGGAAUUCGGCCACUGACGCCGCCCCUGCCUUCGUAAGAUACGAGCGCUGACGCAGGGUGCGGUUUAAUGAACAACCGCCAAACACCCGCAGCCUACCCUCUCCGGCACCCCCCACGCCUCCUGAGACUCGCCAUGACCGCCACCGUCCACUUUCCUCCUCCCUCUCCCGCCGUGAUGACAGCGUCGUACGCCCCCGUGAUGAGAAGUACUCCUCCCGCGACAGAACCCGUGAAGACCGACUAGACCGGUAUACUGACCGUUCGCGCACGCCGCCGCGGUCCGCCUCUCCCCCAGCCCCAGCUCCUGACUCCUUUGAGCGUGAGCUGGAGGCUCUGCAGUCUAAGCUCGCCAAGAUGACGUUGGCCUACCGUCACGGCCAUGAUUUGUCCACCAAUAUGUAUGAACGUGAGGAGGAGGCUGCUGUGCCUGCAUACCUCUCCCACCGCUACGCUAGUGACUCCGACUCCAGGACCGAAGAUGGCAGGGAGUCAGAGCUGUACUCCAAUGAACACGCCGUCUUCACCACCAAGCGUAUCAGCGAUCCCGAACCCGUACGCUUGCCCAACAGGCGUGCGCCCGCAGACCCCGACGCCCAACCUAUGGAGAUCAACAACCGGCCGCCGCCACGCCGCGUCAGUACUACCCGUGCCCCGUCCAAGGCCCCUGCCGACACGCCAGCCCCCUCAACUCACCGUGCCGCGGACCCUGGGGUGCCCAUAGAUACCUCUCCCGGUUCUGCCGUCAGCAGGCCAGCCAUGCCUUCCCCCGCGCAUAAUGAAUGCAGUAACAGGGGCGACACGAUUUCCGCUGGCCAUCGUGGCGUUGGCCGCGCAACCCGUCGUCCUGGUGGUGGGACUACCCGUGCCAAAAACACCCCGGAAACACCGUCUUCAACUCCUCCUCAGCAGCGACUGCCACCUGCGGCGGUCCCUCUCAACCCGGCUACGGCCGAGCCAAGCCCGCCGCCAGUCUCUUGCACCACCUUCUUGGCCUCUCGUUCUCAAGACUUAACUGCUUCGGACCCUAUGCCCGUCCCGGAUGCGCACACCGCACGGUGGGAUUCUCUGCCUCUCUACAACCUGGACAGCCGUCUCCCCAUGUUUUCAGUGUGCCGGGCUACGGUCACACUAACCAACGCCCGUGGAGAGAAAGAGAGCAUUAGGGCAGUGGUUGACACUGGCGCCUCUUACAGUGUGGUGCCUAUGCAUAUCGUGCGCCGCCUGAACCUGCUGCCUUACGUCGCUGAAUCACGCGCCAUGUUCCUGAAUGCCGAUGGUGUCAAGAAGAAGGCAACUGGUCAAAUACGUGGCAUGCAGGUGGGGCUGGGCCAAGAUCUGAUGUACACCAUGGACAUGUACGUGUCCCAAGCCCAAAACUACGAGUUACUGCUGGGAAUGGACUUCCUGUACCCCAUCAAGGCUUCCGUGGAUUUCGGCGGCGGCCAGCGGCUGCUGUACACCAACGACUACAACCAACGCAGUCACGGGCCCAUUACUUGUGUGGUCGUCGAGGAGCCUCCUUCCCUCAAGACCUCCCUGCCCGGGCUGCAAGGAAUGCCAUCUAUCGGAUACAAUUCUGGGACCUACGGCCACGAACAGGAUGCAAUCCCCGCCCUGCAAUCCGUCAGCCAUGUGGGCCACCUGAAAGAGAAGGCAGGUAAGGCGCUGUAUACCCUCAAGAGCGCCGCUGUGGAGGCUGCCUCUACUGCCUCGUCCGGCAUGAAACAGCUACUCCAACACCUGCCGCGUACCGCUGAGGUGCGCUCUUGGUUGUUUACCACCUGGGAAAACGGGUUGACAAAAUGGACAGCCAAGGAGUACGGCACCGUGUCAAACCAGAUUACACACGACGCCGCCGUCGUAGCAAGCACCCCUAAAACGCCCCUUUCUUCCGACAGCCCUUCAAACAAGACUGCUACCGUUAAGAACCUGCCUCCCCUCGGGACGCCGCCCUUGGCGCCCGUGCGCAUCCCGCGCGCUAACCUUUCUGCCGGGCCAAGCCCUGGCUCACCUCCAACUUCUCCUGGCCUCCUCUGCGAGUCACCCGCACACUUCUCCUGCGACAUCUCUACCAACGAGGCGACGACUACAGAAUUUCCAGACAACCCGAGCGUGUCCCCCGACGGCGCGCCUGAGCCCCCGCCGACUGCCGACGAAAGUGCAGCGGCUGAGGCCUUCAUUGCCUUGGCCCAUCAGGCUGGCGCGUUCCUGCCACCUGAAGCUUCCAACGGCGCACGUUCCCCUCCUCCUUCUCGCUCCGCCUCUGCGUCUCUGAACGUGUUGGAAGGCGUUAAAGCCACAUGUCAUCAACGUGUGGGAGACGAGCUACCUGAGCUCUCGGACGGCGCCGCACCCACCACCGCCGCUCCUCCGCCGUCUUCCCGCGCUCCAAGCAAGAUGUCCCCAACCGAGCAGGAGCACAUUCGUGCAGCCGCCUUACCGCCGGUGCGUGCAAGCCCACUUAUGACCUGCGAUCAGCUGGCCCCUGCAGCAUCCCAGCAGGAGCCAGGAGUUGUGCCCCUCUUCCUUAGCGACGGGCACACUGAUGCCCGCCGUAUGGAUUUUAUCUCAGACUCCCCAGCUCGGCCUCCUCUUCCACCGCCCCAGCAGGCUGCCAACACGCCCAAGGAAGCUACGUCGUCUGAGAAAUUUACACCCGAACCGGAAUCAGCGCCUGAACCUGAGCCUGGCCCUGAACCUGAUGAGCCUCAACCCGAACCCCGCACCCUGCCACGACGCGUAAAGGUGCGCUCUGAGGCUGCACAGCACCCUCAGUCUGCCGCGGCGGCGGCCCUUGCCACCGCUGCCGCCACUCCACCUCCAGCACCCCAGCCAACCGUAACGGAAGCCCCUACAAGGCCUGUGUCGGUGUUGCCGCCGCGCCGCGUCAAUGCUUCCCAACUACCCCGUACAGAUUUGUCAACGCCGUCCGUCAGCCAAGAGAUUGCGACCGAAGUGCCCAACGCUGACCCGACCUUGUUCCCUAGUGGAGACGGACGUGAUCCAAGCCAAGCUUCCGUACACCCCAAGCCGGCUCUCGAGGAGUCGCCCGCCAUGCGCACCCAUAUGCCCAACAUGUUUGAUUUCGAGGUGAGACCCCCUGACGCUGACUGCUGUGACAGCGAACCUAUGGAAGGCCUACAGUGUGACAUCUGCGGCAAAGGAGAGCCGCCCCCAAACAACCUGCUUAUCUGCGACAGACCUGCUAAACGCCCUGCCCAUGGCUGUGACCCGUACUGCCUGUGGCCGCGGGUACUUAACGUACCAUAUGGCUCUUGGUAUUGUCCCCAACACCUGAUGGAAACGGCCAACCUCUCUGGAGGGCGUGGUGCGGACAAGGGCCCGGUACCGGCCUUACCCGGUCGUGCGUCGAGCAUAGGCCCGGUACGGGCCGCCGCCACGGCGGAAGCUGUUGCGGCCGCUGCGGCUGCCGCUGCAACUCCGCAAAACAACGGCGCUGUCAUCCCGACCGCCACCACCGUCACCAAGACUCAAGGGCGCCUGCGCGCCACCGCACAUGGAAUGGAGAAGCCCAAGGAUAAACAGUUACGCGAUCUGCCCCCCGCUACCAAAAUGUCCGUCCAACGGCCCCUACGUGUACAGAAGCUGGCAACUGCCACUGUACCUCCUAUCGUCCUGCAUCGACCCAAAACGGACCGCAACCGAAGGCCCUCCCACCAGUUUCCCCUACCAAGGUAUCUUAUUUUACUGCUGGCGCACGAGCCCAAUCAAAUGGAGGGGCCUGCGUCUCCUACAGCCGCUAGGCAACGGUGGUCAACAAUCGCCUGCUGCACGGCUCAAGAUCAUUUCAACGCGGUUUAUGUAGUGCAAGCCGACCUGCCGCCGCAAGCAAGCAGAAAUGCCUGGGUCAGCACGCUACUGGGUCAUGCAAGGGACGCAUGACUGAAGGCCCGGUAGCGACAGCUGUGGCGACAACAGAUGUACUUCGUAAAUCCGCGGCUGACCCAUCUUUGCUACUGCAGAGGAAAGAGUAGAAAGUGCCGCACUGCAACAGGUUCCUGCUUUCCCCAAUCCCUGCCAGUGCGUGCGUGUGUGUGUGUCCCAUGCCCCUCGGGUAGCCCAGGUUCGCCAACACCGCCCCUUCCACCAAGGGCCCACGGUCCAGCAAGGAUCCCGUCUUGAACAUGGCGAGCCCAAGCCACUACGUAUAGCUUCCAGCGGCGCCGAGACGUGAGUCGCGGCGCUGCUCGUCCAAGUUCCACCGACCAAGACCAAUCAAGAUCCAAGGCCAUUGUGGAUCAGCAAAAAUAUGAUAAAUAGUUGAGCGAGAUGAUGAGCAUAGCAGCGGCAUUAGGCCGCGUCGAGUUGGUUGAUCUAGUAGUUCGCGAUCGAAGUUUCCGGACUUGCUCGAUGUUUCUAGUGGCGCCCCGGGCUAGCCUAGAAUGUUCGAAGAAGUUGUUUAGCACACCCACCAUCGAGCGACGUUUUGGGUAGUUGACGAGGUCGGUUGAAGGUGUGGCACGCCCGCCACCGGAAGUAGUUACCUAGCGAUAUAUAGGGGCCUGACGCACAUUCCAGGUCGACUCCCACAGCUGCACAGCACCUAGCGUUGCCUGAGGAAGCCUAAGACUACGACCAAGCAGCCAGAGACGCUAGCGGUAGCCGCCCCGCUCACAACUAGGUCGCACCAAGCCUGUGCUUAGCUGGCUCCUUGCCUGAACAUUCGUGGCCAACUCUGACUCCACAGCCUGGUUGCAUCAAGGCACCAGGGCUCGUUUGGCGUGUGCUGUGUCUUGCGGUCACAACCCGUGGCUGACGGCAGCAUACUUGUAACGGUUGAGUGCAAAUUCCCCUUCGCGGGCUGCCCCUUCCCCUUCCCCUGCGACCGACGCGUGCGGACCGGACUGGACCUAAGCCCUUCG
rnacentral:lncRNA from 1 species